ensembl:lncRNA
UCUCUGGAUAUCUUAGCUUAGGUUCCCUGAAAGCAUAGCCUCUGAAAGGGACUUUGGUACAGGUUGUUUGAACAGUGAUUUAUUUCAGCGAGCAGAAUGAGGAAGCAGAGAUGGUUAGCAUGUGGAUGAAGGAAGCUACUAUUAGGGUGAGUUAUUCAAGUUGCUGCUGUGAGCUAGGAAAGCAUAGUGCCUGAAAUUCCCUGAGAGACAUGAUGAAUACCCCGGGAGGGUCGUCCUAAAGAUGGAAAAGGUCUGAGCAUCUGUGCAUCAGCUGUCAUUAGCAAAGGGCUGCCUUCAAGGGUGUUAAUCCUCCUGUCCUUCUAAGCUACACAAGCACUAGGAUUGCAUGGACACCACCCAUGCCUCCCUGAAGGACUGUGGAGUCCAAGGUGACCCAGGGGGAGAACAAGGAAGAGGAGCACUGUGUGGCCGAAGGUGAGAUGUUGCCAGCAAGAAUUGUUUAUACCUGUCGUAGUUGGAAAUCAGAGACCAGGUCCAAAGGAUGUGGAUUAGGACCUACAAUGUGUCUGCUGAAAAACAGUGUGAGCAGAGCUCUCCACUCACCGCCUACUCACCAACCGAACCCACAAUGGACCAUGACAUGGCUGACUGAGUCAUUGCUGUCCUCCUGAGCCACGUCUUUACAACCCCUACUCCCACGCGACAUCUCGUUGAAGUGUCAGAUAAGCUGCAGAAAGCAGAACUAUAUGAAAGCCUGUGUCAUCUGUUAUUUCUGUGCCAAGGUGGACCAAACCCUAAAGAGAACUUAAGCAGCAGAGCAUAUAAUUACUAUAAAUUCAUUGCAAAUCUGCCCCUCUUCUUUGCUUUACAAUUGUACGUAUAUAUGUGAGAUAUAUAUAUGUGUGUGUGUGUGUAUAUAUACACAUACAUACAUACAUCCUUCUUUUUACCAGCGUAAAUUUGCUCUCCGUCAGUCCUGCUCUCUGACCUCAUCAGUAAUAAUCCUUUUGGAUCCCCAACUCCUCAAUUCUGACUUCUAAAAGCGACUUUUUUCUUUUUUCUGACCUGCUGGCCCUCCCUAAAAACCCCUACUCAAAACAGUCUAAGAUUCACUUUUACUUUCUCAAUAUGCUUUACAUAUUUUUUUAAUUAAAAAUCCGAAAAGGUAUUUUUCAAAGUCAUAUCAAUUUUUAUUUGUACAAUGACAGAAAGACAACAGUAUACUUGAUGUUCUUGAUUUUGACCCACAGUUAUUCCGUCAUAUUCAUAGCAAAAUUUGUUAAGUAUCUUUCAAGAAUUCUUAACAGGGUCCUCCUGUUCUCCUCCUCCGCCACAUGGUACUCAUUCUUUCUGCACAAAACAUAUUGAAAACAUAGCUAAAGAAUAUUAAUUUGAAAAGACAACAGAUUCUUAGCUUUUUCAGAAUACCCACAGUUGUAGGUCUGACGGAACAGUCUAGCUAUACUACGUUUUGAUUAUGUUUUCAGUUUGUUUCUGCUUCCUCUACAUAGACAGAGGCAUGACCAGCUAUCCUUGCAAUCUCAGACAUCUUAUCGGUAGUCAGUUAUGACUUACAGAGAGACAAUUGUGAGUAUCCAAUGGCUUCAGAUCUUUGAGAAAAUCAGACCAG